rnacentral:sRNA from 1 species
AUCUAGCCCUGAUUGUAGAGGAAAUAAAAAAUGCUUCCAUUUGUAUGGAAGCAUUUUUUAUUGUAACGAAAAGCAGGAAUAAGG